AAACCAACGCGGAUUGCCUUAGUAACGGCGAGUGAAGCGGCAAAAGCUCAAAUUUGAAAUCUGGUACCUUCGGUGCCCGAGUUGUAAUUUGGAGAGGGCAACUUUGGGGCCGUUCCUUGUCUAUGUUCCUUGGAACAGGACGUCAUAGAGGGUGAGAAUCCCGUGUGGCGAGGAGUGCGGUUCUUUGUAAAGUGCCUUGCAAGAGUCGAGUUGUUUGGGAAUGCAGCUCUAAGUGGGUGGUAAAUUCCAUCUAAAGCUAAAUAUUGGCGAGAGACGCAUAGGCAACAAGUACAGUGAUGGAAAGAUGAAAAGAACUUUGAAAAGAGAGUGAAAAAGUACGUGAAAUUGUUGAAAGGGAAGGGCAUUUGAUCAGACAUGGUGUUUUGUGCCCUCUGCUCCUUGUGGGUAGGGGAAUCUCGCAUUUCACUGGGCCAGCAUCAGUUUUGGUGGCAGGAUAAAUCCAUAGGAAUGUAGCUUGCCUCGGUAAGUAUUAUACGCUGUGGGAAUACUCGCAGCUGGGACUGAGGACUCGGACGUAAGUCAAGGAUGCUGGCAUAAUGGUUAUAUCGCGC
rnacentral:rRNA from 1 species